ensembl:lncRNA
AUGCACGGUGGAGCUUGGUUACCAUCUUCAGUUUGUUUCACCCCCUCCCUUCCACCCCUCCUCCUCGUCCCUUUUCAGGGACCCCUCUCACGAGCAACUCCUCAUCCAGAAGGUUCACAAGCUCCUCUCAAUCGGAGCUAUAGAGAAGGUACCAGAGGAAUUAAGGGGCAAGGGGUUUUAUUCUCGAUAAUUCCUCAUUCCCAAGGCGAAAGGGGGCCUUCGGCCUAUCCUAGACCUGCGAGGACUGAACAAAUUAAUCAAAAAGUCCAAGUUCUGCAUGGUAUCCCUGGGAACCAUUAUUCCUUCCCUGGAUCCCGGAGAUUGGUACACCGCUCUCGACAUGCAGGAUGCAUAUUUCCAUAUAGCAAUUUAUCCCCCUCACAGGAGGUAUCUGCGCUUUGUGGUAAACCACUGACACUACCAGUUUACUGUCCUCCCCUUUGGCCUCUCCUCGGCCCCUUGUGUGUUCACGAAGUGUAUGGCAGUUGUCGCUGCUUCCCUACACUGUCGUCGGAUACACGUCUUCCCUUACCUCGACGACUGGCUCAUCCGAGGGGCCUCCAAGGCACAAGUCAUCAGCCAUGUGGCCAUUAUCAAGGACCUCUUUCUGCGUCUAGGCCUGAUCAUCAACUUAGACCAGUCCACUCUGGUGCCUACGCAGAGAAUAGAGUUUAUCGGGGCAAUGCGGGACUCCAACCUUGCGAGAGCCAGUUUACCCCUCCACUAGUUUCAGGCCAUAGUCUCACUUGUCCAAGGUCUUCAGCGUUUUCCAACAACCUCUGCCCACACGUGCCUUGGUCUCCUCAGUCACAGGGCUGCAUGCACAUUCGUUACAAAACACGCCAGGCUGCGAAUGCAUCCUCUCCAAAUCUGGCUCGCCUCCAUCUAUCGACCACGCAGAGACGCCAUAGACGACAUUCUGAGAAUUUCGCCGAGAGUUCUCGGCUCCCUCGACUGGUGGCGAAUGCCCUCCUGGGUGUGUACAGGACGACUGUUCCAUCCUCCCCAGCCCUCCAUGUCCUCCCCCUUGUGUCAGGAAGCGAUCCUACUGUGAGACUUCUGCAUAGCCCGCUCCAUAGACCUAGUAGCCUCCUUCCUCCCAGGAGUCUGGAACACGCUCGCAGAUCACCUGAGCAGGUCCUUCCUGGUGCACGAGUGGUCCAUCCGUCUGGACAUUCUCCAUUCAGUUUUCCAGAGGUGGGACUUUCCCCAAAUAGACCUCUUUGCCUCCAGGGACAACAGGAAAUGCCAGGUGUUCUGCUCCCUGCAAGGUCGCUCCCCGGGCUCACUGUCAGAAGCGUUCCUCAUUCCGUGGACAGGCCACUUCUGUUAUGCCUUCCCACCGUUUCCUCUCGUCCACCGAGUUCUGAUCAAGAUGUACAGGGACAAAGCCUGCCUUAUCCUGAUCACUCCGGCUUGGCAGAGGCAGCAUUGGUACGCCACGCUGCUCGACCUGUCUCUGUCAGACUCGAUUUCCCUGCCACUCUGCCCGGACCUGAUCACGCAGGACUUCAGCAGGCUACACCACCUGGACCUGCAGUCCCUUCAUCUGACUGCAUGACUGCUGGCUGGUUAAGCCAAUCGGAGCUGCGUUGUUCUGCCGCAGUGCAGCAAGUGCUGCUGGGAAGCAGAAAGCCCUCAACGCGAUCAUCAUACUUUGCGAAAUGGAAGCUCUUGUCACUGGUGCGCUCAGCAGGACCUUUCUCCGCAGACUGUAUCGGCCCCCACCAUCUUGGACUAUUUAUGGUCUCUCAAAGAGCCAAGGUCUAG